CAGAGGGUGCGAGCGUUGUUCGGAAUUACUGGGCGUAAAGCGCGCGCAGGCGGGUCCUGUAAGUCGGAAGUGAAAUUUCGGAGCUCAACUCCGAAGCUGCUUCUGAUACUGCGGAUCUAGGGACUGGUAGAGGCUGGUAGAAUUACAGGUGUAGCGGUGGAAUGCGUAGAUAUCUGUAAGAAUACCCGUGGCGAAGGCGGCCAGCUGGGCCAGGUCCGACGCUGAGGCGCGAAAGCGUGGGGAGCAAACAGGAUUAGAUACCCUGGUAGUCCACGCCGUAAACGAUGGGCACUAGGUGCCGGGGGGAGCGACCUCUUCGGUGCCGCAGCUAACGCGAUAAGUGCCCCGCCUGGGGAGUACGGCCGCAAGGCUG
rnacentral:rRNA from 1 species